rnacentral:rRNA from 1 species
AUUGAACGCUGGCGGCAUGCCUUACACAUGCAAGUCGAACGGCAGCGGGGACUUCGGUCCGCCGGCGAGUGGCGAACGGGUGAGUAAUGUAUCGGAACGUACCUUUCAGUGGGGGAUAACGUAGCGAAAGUUACGCUAAUACCGCAUAUUCUGUGAGCAGGAAAGCAGGGGAUCGCAAGACCUUGCGCUGAUUGAGCGGCCGAUAUCAGGUUAGCUAGUUGGUGAGGUAAAGGCUCACCAAGGCGACGAUCUGUAGCGGGUCUGAGAGGAUGAUCCGCCACACUGGAACUGAGACACGGUCCAGACUCCUACGGGAGGCAGCAGUGGGGAAUUUUGGACAAUGGGGGCAACCCUGAUCCAGCCAUGCCGCGUGAGUGAAGAAGGCCUUCGGGUUGUAAAGCUCUUUCGGCCGGGAAGAAAUCGCAUGGGUUAAUACCCUGUGCGGAUGACGGUACCGGCAUAAGAAGCACCGGCUAACUACGUGCCAGCAGCCGCCGUAAAAC